AUGCUUGUUCCAACCAUUGGAAUUUUCAAAGACCAGCGCCGCAAGAACAUGUCACUGGAGGCUCAAGAUACAAGGCCCAACUGGAAGAGACAUCUUCCCAAGGGCUGGUUAUCCAAUUCUAAAAGAGGAGCUUGCUAUGGCCAUCCAGGGUCCAGGGUGAUUACAUACGCGGCGAAUGCAGAUGCAUAUGGUAAGCUCCGUGUCGACAUGACGAACAAGCACCAGUUGGGAGCCCAGAUGAAGAAGGCUGCCAAUGGGAGAAAGAGGAGAAGCGAUGAGAUGUUUGUGGCAACUUAUGGAUGA
rnacentral:rRNA from 1 species